AAUUGGGGAAAAAGAAGGCCGCGAAAGUCUAUUGGAAUAGAAAAAUGAGUGAUCUCUCAAAAGGGAGAUAAUUCGUCUAUCAAAGACUUUUUGAGAUCAUCCUCACCUUGCAAGCUCUGAUAUUCAGUAGCGCAAAUGCAGAACAGAAAAAAGUUUGCAUGUCAUCAACAUAAGUAAAACACCUCUUACAGAUAAAAAAAGAAGAGCAUUG
rnacentral:lncRNA from 1 species